ensembl:lncRNA
UCACCCUCCCUUUCACAUGCCUGGAGAGUUUUGUAGUACAAGAGGGGCCCUGCAAGUCUGAUGGUGCAAUUAUUUUCACACUGUUCUCCCUUGAAGACUUUGAUGACUUUUCUUGUAUUUGUUUUAGGAGGAAAUGAAGCUAUCCCACCAGUGGUACAUCACUGCAUCUCUGCCCCAUAGCGGCUGAACAAAUCAGGGGGGUACAAUGAUUUAGAAACAGCUCCACUGUGGCAAAUUGUGAAAAGGUGUUUGAUGGCAGCUCAGCUACAACAGCAAAAGGAAUUACCUGGAGUGGAACAGUUGCACGCAGUACUGAUCAGCUGUCCCAUACAAUCAGCCCAUCUGCUCGAUACCAACUCGACUGAUAUAAUCUGAUCUUUAAAAAGAUGGCAUCAACCAUCCCUGCAAUCAGCAAACAGUCCGAUGAUGGUGAUGUUCACCUCUUAAACCUGUCAAGUCUCAUGUUUUACUCAUGAGGUUUCAGAACCCUUUUCUGUUACAGCAAUGAAAUCAAACUCUUUCCAACUGUCAUACUAUCAAAGAACAUCCCAUAAAAGGCCCUUUUGGCUUCAGUAGUUUCUUUCGUGUGUGGUGGCAGCCAGUAGGAGAUAAUGUUGUGAAUAAAGCCAUUUCUGACCGCC